CUGGAGAAGCAGGGCACGUGCUCGCCGACAAGUCGAAGCCUUAGGGCAGCUUGGCCUGUGGCUGCACGCGUACGUGGUCGUCGCAGCACGUGCGCUCCUUCUCCAACA